rnacentral:lncRNA from 1 species
GGAUUGCUAUAUGGUACGACAGAUUUACACACGAACAGUGCACGACAAGCAGAAUUCUCAUGUAAUUUUAUGUGUGAGUGGGUGCUAGCUAGCUUAUAAUUAUUUAAAAUACUUAAAACAUAAAUCAAGCUAAAAUAAACACUCAAAAAAGUGUGGUAAUAUAUAUCUUAGACUUAUUUGUUGGCACAUGCUGCAUUGACCGUUUGACAAGUGAGAGUGAUUUGGAAAUAGCACCAUCUCAAGAGAAAGAUGAAUGAGAUUAUCAUAAACAAACACAUAUGUAAGAUAAAAUGAAAUCAAAAUUGAAAGAUAAUACAAAUUACGACCAACAACUAAUUCGUGCGAUUGUGACGAAAUUUUUUGUCGUGCUUUUUAGCUUUUUCC